AUGGAGGAUAGAAGCAACUCCAGUAAGAGGAAAGGAGACGGCGAGCAGGAGGGAAGAAAAAGCGGUUGCAAGAGGCAGAAUGUGAGCACGGUGAUGGAGGUAUUCGACUGCACCGUCUGCUCCAAGCCCCUGAGGCCUCCCAUUUUCCAGUGUUCCAAGGGAAACUCCAUCUCUGCCGGCAUUGCCAGGAGAGACUCCCGUUAUUCGAACGGAUCCCCGUCCAGCGCUGCUACAUCAUGGAGCGCAUCGUCGACAACAUCUUCGUUCCCUGCAAACACGGAUGCUCCACGACGGUCGCUUACUACCAGAAGGAAAAGCACGAGAGACAAUGCCCUUGCGGCCCGUGCUUGUGCCCCGUCUCCGGCUGUGGCUUGA
rnacentral:rRNA from 1 species